UACAGAGGGGGCAAGCGUUGUUCGGAAUUACUGGGCGUAAAGGGCGCGUAGGCGGCCUUCUAAGUCGGACGUGAAAUCCCCAGGCUUAACUUGGGAACUGCGUCCGAUACUGGAAGGCUCGAGUGCGGGAGAGGGAUGUGGAAUUCCAGGUGUAGCGGUGAAAUGCGUAGAUAUCGGGAGGAACACCAGUGGCGAAGGCGGCGAUCUGGGAAGAUACUGACGCUGAGGUGCGAAAGCGUGGGGAGCAAACAGG
rnacentral:rRNA from 1 species